GAUGAAGAACGUAGCGAAAUGCGAUAAGUAAUGUGAAUUGCAGAAUUCAGUGAAUCAUCGAAUCUUUGAACGCACAUUGCGCCCCUUGGUAUUCCGGGGGCAUGCCUGUUCGAGCGUCAUUUCAACCCUCAAGCUUCUGCUUGGUCUUGGGCCGUGCCGGCAACGGCUGGCCUUAAAACUAGUGGCGGUGCCAUCGAGCUCUACGCGUAGUAAUUCUAUCUCGCGUCUGGGCUUCGGUGGACGCUGGCCAGCAACCCCCAAUUUUCUAUGGUUGACCUCGGAUCAGGUAGGGAUACCCGCUGAACUUAAGCAUAUCAAUAAGCGGAGGA
rnacentral:misc_RNA from 1 species